UCGAUGAGCACGUCCGCAGGCGGCGGGUU
rnacentral:sRNA from 1 species